rnacentral:rRNA from 1 species
GGGGCUAAUACCGGAUAAUACAUGAAACCGCAUGGUUUCAUGAUGAAAGACGGUUUUGCUGUCACUUAUAGAUGGACCCGCGGCGUAUUAGCUAGUUGGUAAGGUAACGGCUUACCAAGGCAACGAUACGUAGCCGACCUGAGAGGGUGAUCGGCCACACUGGAACUGAGACACGGUCCAG